rnacentral:rRNA from 1 species
AUUGAACGCUGGCGGCAGGCUUAACACAUGCAAGUCGAGCGGGGUGAUGGUGCUUGCACUAUCGCUUAGCGGCGGACGGGUGAGUAAUGCUUAGGAAUCUGCCUAUUAGUGGGGGACAACAUCUCGAAAGGGAUGCUAAUACCGCAUACGUCCUACGGGAGAAAGCAGGGGAUCACUUGUGACCUUGCGCUAAUAGAUGAGCCUAAGUCGGAUUAGCUAGUUGGUGGGGUAAAGGCCUACCAAGGCGACGAUCUGUAGCGGGUCUGAGAGGAUGAUCCGGCACACUGGGACUGAGACACGGGCCAGACUCGUACGGGAGGCAGCAGUGGGGAAUAUUGGACGAUGGGGGGAACCCUGAUCCAGCCAUGCCGCGUGUGUGAAGAAGGCCUUAUGGUUGUAAAGCACUUUAAGCGAGGAGGAGGCUCUUUUGGUUAAUACCCAAGAUGAGUGGACGUUACUCGCAGAAUAAGCACCGGCUAACUCUGUGCCAGCCGCCGCCGUAA